rnacentral:rRNA from 1 species
CAGGCCUAACACAUGCAAGUCGAGCGAAUGGAUUAAGAGCUUGCUCUUAUGAAGUUAGCGGCGGACGGGUGAGUAACACGUGGGUAACCUACCCAUAAGACUGGGAUAACUCCGGGAAACCGGGGCUAAUACCGGAUAAUAUUCUUGAGCUGCAUAGUUCGAAAUUGAAAGGCGGCUUCGGCUGUCACUUAUGGAUGGACCCGCGUCGCAUUAGCUAGUUGGUGAGGUAACGGCUCACCAAGGCGACGAUGCGUAGCCGACCUGAGAGGGUGAUCGGCCACACUGGGACUGAGACACGGCCCAGACUCCUACGGGAGGCAGCAGUAGGGAAUCUUCCGCAAUGGACGAAAGUCUGACGGAGCAACGCCGCGUGAGUGAUGAAGGCUUUCGGGUCGUAAAACUCUGUUGUUAGGGAAGAACA